rnacentral:rRNA from 1 species
GGAUUAAGAGCUUGCUCUUAUGAAGUUAGCGGCGGACGGGUGAGUAACACGUGGGUAACCUGCCCAUAAGACUGGGAUAACUCCGGGAAACCGGGGCUAAUACCGGAUAACAUUUUGAACCGCAUGGUUCGAAAUUGAAAGGCGGCUUCGGCUGUCACUUAUGGAUGGACCCGCGUCGCAUUAGCUAGUUGGUGAGGUAACGGCUCACCAAGGCAACGAUGCGUAGCCGACCUGAGAGGGUGAUCGGCCACACUGGGACUGAGACACGGCCCAGACUCCUACGGGAGGCAGCAGUAGGGAAUCUUCCGCAAUGGACGAAAGUCUGACGGAGCAACGCCGCGUGAGUGAUGAAGGCUUUCGGGUCGUAAAACUCUGGGGUUAGGGAAGAACAAGUGCUAGUUGAAUAAGCUGGCACCUUGACGGUACCUAACCAGAAAGCCACGGCUAACUACGUGCCAGCAGCCGCGGUAAUACGUAGGUGGCAAGCGUUAUCCGGAAUUAUUGGGCGUAAAGCGCGCGCAGGUGGUUUCUUAAGUCUGAUGUGAAAGCCCACGGCUCAACCGUGGAGGGUCAUUGGAAACUGGGAGACUUGAGUGCAGAAGAGGAAAGUGGAAUUCCAUGUGUAGCGGUGAAAUGCGUAGAGAUAUGGAGGAACACCAGUGGCGAAGGCGACUUUCUGGUCUGUAACUGACACUGAGGCGCGAAAGCGUGGGGGAGCAAACAGGAUUAGAUACCC